rnacentral:rRNA from 1 species
UACGAAGGGGGCUAGCGUUGUUCGGAAUUACUGGGCGUAAAGCGCGCGUAGGCGGCCGGUCAAGUCGGGGGUGAAAUCUUUCAGCUUAACUGGAAAAGUGCCUCCGAUACUGAUCGUCUCGAGGGAGGUAGGGGCAUGUGGAACUUCCGGUGGAGCGGUGAAAUGCGUAGAUAUCAGGAGGAACACCAAUGGCGAAGGCAGCUCGCUGGGACGUGACUGACGCUGAGACGCGAAAGCGUGGGGAGCAAACAGG